CGGUCCGGAUGACAGCUAGGAAACUAGAGGAAAGUCCAUGCUCGCACUUUCUGAGAUGAAAGUAGUGUUUGUGCCAAAGGAAAAAAUAACUUUGGGCAGGGAGGAGUCCCUGACGGCGGAAGAUUUCCUGAAAUGGAAUAUUCUGUAACGCUCCACAGUGACGAAUCAGGUGGAAACAUCUGGGUGAAACGCGGAAAGCCCCUCAAGCGAGAAACCUAAAUUUUGGUAAGGGAAGUCAAAAGCGGGAAUCAAACUGCAAUUGGCAAGCUUCGGCUUAGAUAAAUUGUCGUCCUCGACAAAACAUGGCUUAUAGGA
rfam:Firmicutes bacterium CAG:345 genomic scaffold, scf22